rnacentral:pre_miRNA from 1 species
AGAGGAAUAGCUGGGUCAAAUGGUGGCGCCAUACCCAGUUUUCCAAGGAAUCUCAAGGAAUACUGCUUUCCAAAUUGGCUGCACCAAUUUGCAGACCCACCAGCAAU